UCAAGCUGCUACUGGAGAACGGGGCCAAUCCUAUUCUCCCAAACCAUGACGGAUAUACCUCUAUUGAAAUCAUGGAACACCGGAUAGCUGAUUGCAUAUUAUGUCGGAUUGACGAAGAACAUUUGCCAAGAAUGAAGAAAAUGCUUCAAAUGAUGCGAAAGGCUGCUGCUGCCGACGCAUAGUGCGUCUAGGAGCUAGCUAAUCGGCCAGUAGAGGGUUGUUUGAUUAGCAUCUG
rnacentral:ribozyme from 1 species